AUUGAACGCUGGCGGCAGGCUUAACACAUGCAAGUCGAGCGGGGGAAGGUAGCUUGCUACCGGACCUAGCGGCGGACGGGUGAGUAAUGCUUAGGAAUCUGCCUAUUAGUGGGGGACAACAUCUCGAAAGGGAUGCUAAUACCGCAUACGUCCUACGGGAGAAGGCAGGGGAUCUUCGGACCUUGCGCUAAUAGAUGAGCCUAGGUCGGAUUAGCUAGUUGGUGGGGUAAAGGCCUACCAAGGCGACGAUCUGUAGCGGGUCUGAGAGGAUGAUCCGCCACACUGGGACUGAGACACGGCCCAGACUCCUACGGGAGGCAGCAGUGGGGAAUAUUGGACAAUGGGGGGAACCCUGAUCCAGCCAUGCCGCGUGUGUGAAGAAGGCCUUAUGGUUGUAAAGCACUUUAAGCGAGGAGGAGGCUACUCUAGUUAAUACCUAGGGAUAGUGGACGUUACUCGCAGAAUAAGCACCGGCUAACUCUGUGCCAGCAGCCGCCGUAA
rnacentral:rRNA from 1 species